UGCAUCGAUGAAGAACGCAGCGAAACGCGAUAGGUAAUGUGAAUUGCAGAAUUCCGUGAAUCAUCGAAUCUUUGAACGCACCUUGCGCUCCAUGGCAUUCCGUGGAGCAUGCCUGUUUGAGUGCCGCGAAAUCUCCCACCCCUAGCGGUUGCCGCAAGGCGCCGCCGGGCGGCGGGGUUGGUUGGGUGCCGCUGCCUGGGCUUUGGCCCAGGCUCGCCCGAAAUGCAUGAGCGCUUAGCACUCGCACCGUCUCGAGGGAAGGCGGCGGAGCUGGCAUCUGCGCAUGGCAUGAUACGUCAUUUGCUGUGUGGCAGCCCAGCGACCCGAGAGUGUGUGUGCGCUACUACACGCCCUUUCAUUUCUGGUCUCAAAUCAGGUAGGAUCACCCGCUGAACUUAAGCAUAUCAAUAAGCGGAGG
rnacentral:rRNA from 1 species